GUCCUUGAGGUUUACUGUGUUUGGCAUCGCAGUUCCGACGGCAGCCGCCGUUUCGCGACCCACGGCGGACUUGCAUAAACACUUUCUAGUUGGAAUCUCACCCUGUGAGGUGGGCAAGGUGUCACAGAAUAAAGAAAAAGACUGGGAGAGAGAUGGGAGCUGAUAGACCAGAGGAGACCAAAGACUGAAACUGAAGACUAAACCAUGGAAAUUGGGAACAAGCACUUACUCGCUUAGAGGGUGAAAAAAGUGAAUUUGCCUACAGGGCCAAUUUGGAAGCACCUCUCCCUGGAAGCCAGUCAAUGAAGAGCCAUUGGAGGAUUUUAAAUAAGGAACCGAAAAAUGGAGUCUGAAAAUAGAGGCGCAGAGACCGGUCAACCACAAUGAAGAACAAGCCAUUUUGACCUCCAUCCUGGCUCAUCUCCUCUGUGUUCUCAUAGCAUCAUAUUAUAGAAUGGAUCACAAACGCCUUUGCAGUUGCCUAUUUAUUUGUCCAUUUCUCCCUCCAGACUGUGAGUUCCCAGAGGGCAUGUCUUAUCUAUGUUAGUAGCCACAUCCCCGGUAUCUGGCUCUGUGGACAACACUCCGUAACUGUUGGAGGAAUGAAUGAAUGAGUGAGUGAGUGAGUGAAUGUUUUCCCUGAAAUUCAAACCUUGAUGGUUGAACUUGUCAUUAUUUGGUUUACGGAACAAGCUAGGCUGAUUGAAUUGACUUGGCCAGGCACAAUUAGGCAAAAUGUAACACAAAGAAGAUGAGUACACCAGCCUUGCUGAUUGAGGAGAUCAGCUGUGGAUGAGCCAAGUGCCAGCUGCCAGCUGCAGUUGCAAGGCCAUGUUCUUCUUCUAGCUAGGAACAUUCUGUGGCAGAGACUCACUCAGGGGUCUGAAUAUCAGAAUCACAACCAGAAAAUGGCUCAUUAUUGCACAGACAAAUAAUUGGCGGCUCUCUCCAAGUAACAGUGUCUUAAGUUAGGUUCCCUAGAAGCAGAUUAUAAAACGAAGACUCUUGGUCAAGUGAUUUACUGAGCUCAUGCUCUCAGGAGAAAAGGAGUGAGAGGAGCAUAAUAGGCAGGGAGAAAAGCUAGAGGAGAGCUCAGCUGGCGACUGGCUGCAGCCUGAUCACCUUGAGCUAUGGAGCUGGCCAACCCUUUGUCUCUCUGUGUGGAUUAGUCAUUGGCUGUGGGCUAUCCCUGGGGGCAGGAACCAUAACCUCC
rnacentral:lncRNA from 1 species